UACGUAGGGUGCAGGCGUUAAUCGGAAUUACUGGGCGUAAAGCGUGCGCAGGCGGUUUGCUAAGACAGGUGUGAAAUCCCCGGGCUUAACCUGGGAACUGCGCUUGUAACUGGCAAGCUAGAGUGUGGCAGAGGGGGGUGGAAUUCCACGUGUAGCAGUGAAAUGCGUAGAGAUGUGGAGGAACACCGAUGGCGAAGGCAGCCCCCUGGGUUAACACUGACGCUCAGGCACGAAAGCGUGGGGAGCAAACAGG
rnacentral:rRNA from 1 species